UUGGACCUCAGAUCAG
rnacentral:rRNA from 1 species